rnacentral:rRNA from 1 species
GACGAACGCUGGCGGCGUGCUUAACACAUGCAAGUCGAACGGAAAGGCCCCUUCGGGGGUACUCGAGUGGCGAACGGGUGAGUAACACGUGAGUAACCUGCCCUUGACUUCGGGAUAACUUCAGGAAACUGGGGCUAAUACCGGAUAGGAAUCCUUGCUGCAUGGUGGGGGUUGGAAAGCUUCGGCGGUUUUGGAUGGACUCGCGGCUUAUCAGCUUGUUGGUGGGGUAGUGGCUUACCAAGGCUUUGACGGGUAGCCGGCCUGAGAGGGCGACCGGCCACAUUGGGACUGAGAUACGGCCCAGACGCCUACGGGAGGCAGCAGUGGGGAAUAUUGCACAAGGGGCGGAAGCCUGAUGCAGCAACGCCGCGUGCGGGAUGACGGCCUUCGGGUUGUAAACCGCUUUCAGCAGGGGCGAAGCUUGUGGUGACGGUACCUGCAGAAGAAGCACCGGCUAACUACGUG